CCUACGGGUGGCUGCAGUGGGGAAUAUUGGACAAUGGGCGAAAGCCUGAUCCAGCCAUGCCGCGUGAGUGAUGAAGGCCUUAGGGUUGUAAAGCUCUUUCGCAGGUGAAGAUAAUGACGGUAACCUGAGAAGAAGCCCCGGCUAACUUCGUGCCAGCAGCCGCGGUAAUACGAAGGGGGCUAGCGUUGUUCGGAAUUACUGGGCGUAAAGCGCACGUAGGCGGACUAUUAAGUCAGGGGUGAAAUCCCGGGGCUCAACCCCGGAACUGCCUUUGAUACUGGUAGUCUCGAGUCCGGAAGAGGUGAGUGGAAUUCCGAGUGUAGAGGUGAAAUUCGUAGAUAUUCGGAGGAACACCAGUGGCGAAGGCGGCUCACUGGUCCGGUACUGACGCUGAGGUGCGAAAGCGUGGGGAGCAAACAGGAUUAGAUACCCCGGUAGUC
rnacentral:rRNA from 1 species